UACGUAGGGUGCGAGCGUUAAUCGGAAUUACUGGGCGUAAAGCGUGCGCAGGCGGUUUUGUAAGACAGGCGUGAAAAUCCCCGGGCGUCAAACCUCGGGAACUGCGCGUUGUGACUGUCAAGGCUAGAGUACGGCAGAGGGGGGUGGAAUUCCACGUGUAGCAGUGAGAUGCGUAGAGAUGUGGAGGAACACCAAUGGCGAAGGCAGCCCCCU
rnacentral:rRNA from 1 species